rnacentral:rRNA from 1 species
AUUGAACGCUGGCGGCAGGCCUAACACAUGCAAGUCGAGCGGAGCGGCGGACGGGUGAGUAAUGCCUAGGAAUCUGCCUGGGAGUGGGGGAUAACGUCCGGAAACGGGCGCUAAUACCGCAUACUAUCAGAUGAGCCUAGGUAGGAUUAGCUAGUUGGUGAGGUAAAGGCAUACCAAGGCGACGAUGCGUACCUGGUCUGAGAGGAUGAUCAGUCACACUGGAACUGAGACACGGUCCAGACUCCUACGGGAGGCAGCAGUGGGGAAUAUUGGGCAAUGGGCGAAAGCCUGAUCCAGCCAUGCCGCGUGUGUGAAGAAGGUCUUCGGAUUGUAAAGCUCUUUCAGCAGGGAGGCGGUACCCGCAGAGAAAGCACCGGCUAACUCCGUGCCAGCAGCCGCGGUAAUAC